rnacentral:rRNA from 1 species
AUUGGACGCUGGCGGCAGGCCUAACACAUGCAAGUCGAACGGUAACAGGAAGAAGCUUGCUUCUUUGCUGACGAGUGGCGGACGGGUGAGUAAUGUCUGGGAAACUGCCUGAUGGAGAGGGAUAACUACUGGAAACGGUAGCUAAUACCGCAUAACGUCGCAAGACCAAAGAGGGGGACCUUCGGGCCUCUUGCCAUCGGAUGUGCCCAGAUGGGAUUAGCUAGUAGGUGGGGUAACGGCUCACCUAGGCGACGAUCCCUAGCUGGUCUGAGAGGAUGACCAGCCACACUGGAACUGAGACACGGUCCAGACUCCUACGGGAGGCAGCAGUGGGGAAUAUUGCACAAUGGGCGCAAGCCUGAUGCAGCCAUGCCGCGUGUAUGAAGAAGGCCUUCGGGUUGUAAAGUACUUUCAGCGGGGAGGAAGGGAGUAAAGUUAAUACCUUUGCUCAUUGACGUUACCCGCAGAAGAAGCACCGGCUAACUCCGUG